rnacentral:tRNA from 1 species
UCCCUGGUGGCCCACUGGUUAGGGCUUGGCAUUUUCACUUCCAUGACCUGGGUUCAAUCCCUGGUUGGGGAG